rnacentral:lncRNA from 7 species
AGCUUUCACACUAAGAUAGAAGAGCUUUGAAAAGAGCUGAAGGGGAUUCAAAGGCAGAGAUGACUCAGUGAGACCUAAGAAUACAUAAUAGGAAGGAUAUUUUCCUUCUUCCAUCUGAGGGUGGAGUGACUUCUAUCCAACACAGUCUAUGGCCUUGGGCAAUGAUCAAAUAUAUAAGGCACAAAGUCGACAGAUCUAUUGCUAUUCACUGACUGGAGACUUCAACACUGCUCAAACACAAUACCCUACCUUACAGCCAUUCAACAUAAGGAGGAGAUGAAGAUAUUUCUCACUGUUCACAUCUUGAAUUACAAUGAGUAGUUUGAAAUGAUGAGAGGCUGAUUUAAUGCAGAAGAAAACAAGUGGAGCAAUUCUGAGAUCAACCAACCUGGAGAUGGUUGACUUCCAAUGGAUCUUGGGCUUAAGUGAAUGCUGUUUCUACUCAACCAGUGAAGAAGAUGGAAUUUGAUGUCUAAAUUUCAUGACAAAAGAUUAUUUUCCAACUGUGUUUCCAACUAAUGACACCAGCACAUAUCAGAAAAUAUGCAUAAGAGAAGACCAAGAUGUUUUGAUCUGAUCAGACAGAAGCUCUCCUACAACCAACCAAGAAGAAACUAAUAGAAAAUGGGAUAGUUACAGUCUAUGUCAUCAGAUGUUAAAAAAUAAAAGGGGUACAAAAUUCAGUACAAACACUAAGGAAUAAUUUGCCUUGUCAGCCUAACAGACAAUACCAACAGCUCCCUAAACUUUAGCAGAAGCAUUAACUUCAUAUUCUAGAAGUUUAUGGCUAAGGGCUUCAUCAGAAAACUUCCAUGAGAUGGUUCAGUUGCUCCUCAAGUGCUGAGAAUUGCUUACUGAAAGAAAAGUUCAUCUGAGGUCUAUUUUUGCUGUGACCUCUGUGCUGGAGCUUGAUGUGUGCUGGGACACUGGGAUUCUCUCCAUAUCACUUCUGUGGCUGCUGCUAGUCUCAUUUUCAGCUAUGGAACGAGCUCAAUUGUGGUCUACAUGCUGCAGCAAGCAUCAUUCGGCAAGUGUUGAUGAAUGUCAGUGGGUGCAAUUUUCCUUACAAUAGAAGAAUUCAACGGCACACCUUUGCUUUCAUACACAGUUCCAUGACAGACUGCAUUCUGUCAGGCUGCCUCUCUGCUGCCAUCUGUCACAUGGCAAAAACUUGUGACAGAAUAUUGGCGUGAAGGUUCAGCCUCUACUGAGAUACCACCAACCUUUGAUGUUGUGCACCAACAAAAAUAGGAGGCAUUACUUUCAGAGCAGACUUCUUAUAUUUGUAUGUGGUGUGAUUCUUAUUACUUUUGAACAAUGUAAUUAAUGCAAAGAAAAAUAAACAAUAUAACUGUAACAGAAUGUAUAUACAUCAAGGUAAUGUAAUACAGUCCUCCUAUU